rnacentral:rRNA from 1 species
AGUGAACGCUGGCGGUAGGCCUAACACAUGCAAGUCGAACGGCAGCACAGUAAGAGCUUGCUCUUACGGGUGGCGAGUGGCGGACGGGUGAGGAAUACAUCGGAAUCUACUUUUUCGUGGGGGAUAACGUAGGGAAACUUACGCUAAUACCGCAUACGACCUACGGGUGAAAGCAGGGGAUCUUCGGACCUUGCGCGAUUGAAUGAGCCGAUGUCGGAUUAGCUAGUUGGCGGGGUAAAGGCCCACCAAGGCGACGAUCCGUAGCUGGUCUGAGAGGAUGGUCAGCCACACUGGAAGUGAGACACGGUCCAGACUCCUACGGGAGGCAGCAGUGGGGAAUAUUGGACGAUGGGGGCAAGCCUGAUCCAGCAAUACCGCGUGGGUGAAGAAGGCCUUCGGGUUGGAGAGCCCUUUUGGUUGGAAAGAAAAGCAGCAGGGUAAUACCCCGCGGUUCUGACGGUACCCAAAGAAUAAGCACCGGCUAACUACGUG